rnacentral:rRNA from 1 species
GAUUGAACGCUGGCGGCAUGCCUAACACAUGCAAGUCGAACGGCAGCACAGCAGUAGCAAUACUGUGGGUGGCGAGUGGCGGACGGGUGAGUAAUGCAUCGGGAUCUACCCUGACGUGGGGGAUAACCUCGGGAAACCGGGACUAAUACCGCAUACGUCCUACGGGAGAAAGCGGGGGACCUUCGGGCCUCGCGCGGCAGGACGAACCGAUGUGCGAUUAGCUAGUUGGCGGGGUAAUGGCCCACCAAGGCGACGAUCGCUAGCUGGUCUGAGAGGAUGAUCAGCCACACUGGGACUGAGACACGGCCCAGACUCCUACGGGAGGCAGCAGUGGGGAAUAUUGGACAAUGGGCGCAAGCCUGAUCCAGCAAUGCCGCGUGUGUGAAGAAGGCCUUCGGGUUGUAAAGCACUUUUAUCAGGAGCGAAAUACCACGGGUUAAUACCCUAUGGGGCUGACGGUACCUGAGGAAUAAGCACCGGCUAACUUCGUGCCAGCAGCCGCGGUAAUACGAAGGGUGCAAGCGUUAAUCGGAAUUACUGGGCGUAAAGGGUGCGUAGGCGGUUACUUAAGUCUGUCGUGAAAUCCCCGGGCUCAACCUGGGAAUGGCGAUGGAUACUGGGUGGCUAGAGUGUGUCAGAGGAUGGUGGAAUUCCCGGUGUAGCGGUGAAAUGCGUAGAGAUCGGGAGGAACAUCAGUGGCGAAGGCGGCCAUCUGGGACAACACUGACGCUGAAGCACGAAAGCGUGGGGAGCAAACAGGAUUAGAUACCCUGGUAGUCCACGCCCUAAACGAUGCGAACUGGAUGUUGGUCUCAACUCGGAGAUCAGUGUCGAAGCUAACGCGUUAAGUUCGCCGCCUGGGGAGUACGGUCGCAAGACUGAAACUCAAAGGAAUUGACGGGGGCCCGCACAAGCGGUGGAGUAUGUGGUUUAAUUCGAAGCAACGCGCAGAACCUUACCAGCCCUUGACAUCCCGAUCGCGGUUACCAGAGAUGGUAUCCUUCAGUUAGGCUGGAUCGGUGACAGGUGCUGCAUGGCUGUCGUCAGCUCGUGUCGUGAGAUGUUGGGUUAAGUCCCGCAACAAGCGCAACCCUCGCCCUUAGUUGCCACCAUUCAGUUGGGCACUCUAAGGGGACUGCCGGUGAUAAGCCGAGAGGAAGGUGGGGAUGACGUCAAGUCCUCAUGGCCCUUACGGGCUGGGCUACACACGUGCUACAAUGGUGGUGACAGUGGGCAGCGAGACCGCGAGGUCGAGCUAAUCUCCAAAAGCCAUCUCAGUUCGGAUUGCACUCUGCAACUCGAGUGCAUGAAGUUGGAAUCGCUAGUAAUCGUGGAUCAGAAUGCCACGGUGAAUACGUUCCCGGGCCUUGUACACACCGCCCGUCACACCAUGGGAGUUGGUUUUACCCGAAGGUGCUGUGCUAACCGCAAGGAGGCAGGCAACCACGGUAGGGUCAGCGACUGGGGUGAAG